rnacentral:rRNA from 1 species
AGAGUUUGAUCAUGGCUCAGAUUGAACGCUGGCGGAAUGCUUUACACAUGCAAGUCGAGCGGCAGCGCGGGGCAACCUGGCGGCGAGCGGCGAACGGGUGAGUAAUGCAUCGGAACAUGUCCAUGUCGUGGGGAUAGCCCGGCGAAAGCCGGAUUAAUACCGCAUACGCUCGAGAGAGGAAAGCCGGGACCGCAAGGCCUGGCGCGAUUGGGUUGGCCGAUGUCCGAUUAGCUAGUUGGUGAGGUAAAGGCUUACCAAGGCGAUGAUCGGUAGCUGGUCUGAGAGGAUGAUCAGCCACACUGGGACUGAGACACGGCCCAGGCUCCUACGGGAGGCAGCAGUGGGGAAUUUUGGACAAUGGGGGCAACCCUGAUCCAGCCAUUCCGCGUGAGUGAAGAAGGCCUUCGGGUUGUAAAGCUCUUUUGUCCGGAGCGAAACGGAAGUGGUGAAUAUCCACUUCUACUGACGGUACCGGAAGAAUAAGCACCGGCUAACUACGUG